UACGUAGGCAGCGAGCGUUGUUCGGAAUUACUGGGCGUAAAGAGUGUGUAGGCGGUUCUCUAAGUUCGGUGUGAAAUCUCCUGGCUCAACUGGGGGGGUGCGCCGGAAACUGGAGUGCUUGAGCGUGGGAGAGGAAAGCGGAAUUCCUGGUGUAGCGGUGAAAUGCGUAGAUAUCAGGAGGAACACCUGUGGUGUAGACGGCUUUCUGGACCAUAGCUGACGCUGAGACACGAAAGCGUGGGUAGCAAACAGG
rnacentral:rRNA from 1 species